rnacentral:rRNA from 1 species
CCCCGCAAGGGGCAAGUAGAGUGGCAAACGGGUGAGUAACACGUGGGUGACCUGCCUUCGAGCGGGGGAUAACGUCCCGAAAGGGACGCUAAUACCGCAUAACAUCCUGCCUUUGAAGAGGUGGAGAUCAAAGCUGGGGAUCGCAAGACCCGGCACUUGAAGAGGGGCCCGCGCCUGAUUAGCUAGUUGGUGGGUAAUGGCCUACCAAGGCAACGAUCAGUAUCCGGCCUGAGAGGGCGGACGGACACACUGGGACUGAGACACGGCCCAGACUCCUACGGGAGGCAGCAGUGGGGAAUUGUUCGCAAUGGGCGCAAGCCUGACGACGCAACGCCGCGUGGAGGAUGAAGAUUUUCGGAUCGUAAACUCCUGUCGAAUGGGACGAAAAGAUAACGGGUUAACAGCCCGUAAUCCUGACGGUACCGUUAAAGGAAACCCCGGCUAACUCCGUGCCAGCAGCCGCGGUAAUACGGGGGGGGUAAGCGUUGUUCGGAAUUACUGGGCGUAAAGGGCUCGUAGGCGGCCAACUAAGUCAUACGUGAAAUCCCUCAGCUUAACUGGGGAACUGCGUGUGAUACUGGAUGGCUUGGAUUUGGGAGAGGGAUGCGGAAUUCCAGGUGUAGCGGUGAAAUGCGUAGAUAUCUGGAGGAACACCGGUGGCGAAGGCGGCAUCCUGGACCAAUAUUGACGCUG